GGAUUAGAUACCCUGGUAGUCCACGCCCUAAACGAUGCACACUAGUUGUUGUGAGGCUAGACCUUGCAGUAAUGCAGUUAACACAUUAAGUGUGCCGCCUGGGGAGUACGGUCGCAAGAUUAAAACUCAAAGGAAUAGACGGGGACCCGCACAAGCGGUGGAGCAUGUGGUUUAAUUCGACGAUACACGAAGAACCUUACCUGGACUUGACAUAGUAAGAACUUUCUAGAGAUAGAUUGGUGUCUGCUUGCAGAAACUUAUAUACAGGUGCUGCACGGCUGUCGUCAGCUCGUGCCG
rnacentral:rRNA from 1 species